rnacentral:rRNA from 1 species
GCGAACGCUGGCGGCAGGCCUAACACAUGCAAGUCGAACGAACUCUUCGGAGUUAGUGGCGGACGGGUGAGUAACACGUGGGAACGUGCCUUUAGGUUCGGAAUAACUCAGGGAAACUUGUGCUAAUACCGAAUGUGCCCUUCGGGGGAAAGAUUUAUCGCCUUUAGAGCGGCCCGCGUCUGAUUAGCUUGUUGGUGGGGUAAUGGCCCACCAAGGCUACGAUCAGUAGCUGGUCUGAGAGGAUGACCAGCCACAUUGGGACUGAGACACGGCCCAGACUCCUACGGGAGGCAGCAGUGGGGAAUAUUGGACAAUGGGCGCAAGCCUGAUCCAGCCAUGCCGCGUGUGUGAUGAAGGCCUUAGGGUUGUAAAGCACUUUCGCCGGUGAAGAUAAUGACGGUAACCGGAGAAGAAGCCCCGGCUAACUUCGU